UACGAAGGGGGCUAGCGUUGCUCGGAAUCACUGGGCGUAAAGCGCACGUAGGCGGCUUUUUAAGUCAGGGGUGAAAUCCUGGAGCUCAACUCCAGAACUGCCCUUUGAUACUGAGAAGCUUGAGUCCGGGAGAGGUGAGUGGAACUGCGAGUGUAGAGGUGAAAUUCGUAGAUAUUUCGCAAGAACACCAGUGGCGAAGGCGGCUCACUGGCCCGGUACUGACGCUGAGGUGCGAAAGCGUGGGGAGCAAACAGG
rnacentral:rRNA from 1 species